GGGGAGGACUAGAGUUCAGGAGUGGAGCAUCUGCUUCUCAAUCAGAAGGUCCCAGGUUCAGUCCCUGGCUUCUCCA